CAUAUGAAACGUUUUCAAAUGUGUGACCAAAGUUAACAGUUUUUUAUUUUUUUAUUUGCAGUCGCUUCUUGACUCCACGAAAACUAAUCAAAAUCAAAAAUGGGCGCAGAAAAAGUAUCCAUGAACAUCGUCGUAGUCGGACAGGUCCAAUCAGCCAAAGCCGCCAAAAUCGUCGCCAAGGCCGCACCCGCCGACAGUCGAUUGAUGGUAAGUUUGACCGCGAGUUUACUUGUUUUGUUUGACUUUUUUCGUUUGUUCCAUUAGACUUCAUUAUGAUUGUACGCAUUAAUUAAUUCAUAUCGCAUUCUGUUAACCAUUUUACUAUGACGAUCACAGUAAAAACUUAUACGAAAUAUUAUUUAUCAAUCGAUAAAUGACUUUAAUAUAUCUAAACAUGUAUUAAAGCGAAUAUAAUAAACAAUAUCGCUUUAUUCUUAAAGCCUUUUUUUAUAAUAUAUACAAUGAAUGACAAAUAUUAACAAAUCGAGGUGACAUGUUUGACAUGAGAUAUUUUGAAUAGAGAAUCGUCGCGCUUUUUUUUUUAUUUUUUCUCGGUGCCUAAGUAUGUGAAGUCAUUGAUCAUGAUGUCGUUUGUUUGUUUCAGAACUGUUAACUCAUUUACUCAACUCAUCGAUUACACACUCAAAAAUGCCAUAGCCCAUACAAAUGUACACAAUAUUAUGUAACUUAUAAAUAUAAUGUAAAUUGACAUACAAAAAUAAACCAUUCUUUCCGUAA
rnacentral:lncRNA from 1 species